rnacentral:lncRNA from 1 species
UUACAGUCUGUAAACACAACACCAGACAGCCGCCGACCCCUGGAGGAGGUGCAGGAGGCUCGCCACUCUCUCUGGCUUUAGUAUUGGUAUUUGUAAUUUAAAACAGUGUUCCUGAUAUCAGCUUGUAUGUUGUGAUCACACCCAAAAGACCACCUGGGAAAAGGUUUACAUACGGUGUGAAGAUUAAGGAACUGACAGGACACCAGUUACAGAGAUUACAGGAAGAGAAGUGCACGUCAUCCCCCACCUCAGAUACUUGCCAGAUAGGUCUGUAUCCUAACGUAACGCCAGCAGAGACAACAUUGACGACCAUAAGUCCACGUCAGCGAUACUUGUGUGUAUAAGGAAGAAAUUGAUCAUGGUCUCGGAUGGAUAUAUUUUCAGCCGGUUCACUAUCCCAGCGAUGAAUUGUAGGAAGAGCAGCUGAAUGUAUUCUCUUUCGGCUGUCAGAGCCACUCACAGCAGGGGCAGAUCCAGGAAUAUCAAAUGAGGGGGUCCAAGAAGUUGUGGGUAAGAGAGCAUGUCCAGGACUCCCCCUGGAUCUGCCUCCCACAGGAAGCUCCUCUACUUCUAUCAGCACGAUGCAGCAAACUUGAAAAUGUAAAGUACCUCAUACAGCUCAGAGCCAACGUGAACCACAAGGAAGAAGUGCUUGAUGUUGUAAACAAUUAGUCAUACUGAGAAAAGUGGACAAGCUUGUGUUGUUGAAGGAUACUAGCUCAAAGGUAAAGGGAUUGAUGUACAGUGAAACCUCCCUAUAACAAACUUCUCUAUAUAUAAUCCGUGAAAUGGGUGUUUCACGUCUAAUGACCCCUCGAUAUAAUAGACUUUCUGGUGCUGCUACAUAUAGCGUGUGGUCUACAAAGUUAUCUUUAGUCUAACCUGACCUAACCUAACCCAGUUUAUUUCACAUGAAGGAUAAGUCACCCCAGCUUAUUUCACAUAGAGAUUCAUCACCCUAACUUAACACCUGUAGGUUCAUUAUUUGUCUAUUAAGUGAUGGACUGGAAUCACACUAAGAUUAUCCCCCUUAAUGUCAUCGACUGAUUAAACACCCUAAUGCUAUCAGGAGGACUUAGGCUUUGUUAUGUUAAAUUAAGUUAGUGGUAUGUUUUUGUUACUCUAUGUCACCACCAAGUUGUAUGUUGUGGAAAUAUCUUGAGGUUGUAGUUUUGUGAUAAUAUCUUGUGGUGUGGAUUUAUUGUACAAUACUUGAUAAUAACAUAUAGUGUACUGUAAUAUUAUUAUAUGCUGAUAACCACAAAGGAAAAAGUACACAAAAUUCCUCGCCCUCUGGGACAGUAUUCAGGGUAACAAGAAGUCGGCUGUACCCAUGCCCUGUGUAAACUGGGCAGCACCUCCCCCCUCUCCAUGAUGUGCCUCGACGCCCUCACCGUCCACGUCAAGACGAAUCUCCUGCGUAACAUUGGACAGGUGUGGUGUGAUGCUCCAGCUGUCAGUUGGUAUUGAAGAUCACCUGAGUUUGAUGCAUCGUUAACCUGGGUGUGCCGACUGUUGCUUCAGUGCUGGUGUUGACCCAAGACAGAAGAUGUAGGAGUGGUCAUAACUUGUUCUAACUGGACAGAGGUCAAGUGAAGUGAGUUAGACCAACACGAACACCUCUGAUGUGAUCGUCCAAGAGUUAAACAUUACUUAUGUCACAGUAAAACUCUUACCACCGGUGUUUUAAACAACAUCUUCCCUCUCCGACGAAGCGCCUUCUUCUAGGAAUUGUUCUUUCAAGUAUUAGUUUUAAUUGCUCGAGCCUCUUCCCCUCCAUGUGGGACCAAGUAGGAUAGGGUUGCUAAUCCUGUCCACCUUCGCUGGCGCUAAAAUCAAGACUUUUGUACUAUCAUCAUGAACCUCUAUUCCUCUCAAUCAGCAAGGACAAGUCCUAUAUCUCACAGAGAACAGUAGUUAUUAGUGCAUUUGAUUGGGGAGGAAAGGGUUCUGCAGAAUAAGAACACAUGUGGAAAGAUUGUUGGUUUAAAGAAGCAAACAUGGAUCUGGAUAGCAACCAUAUUCAGCACUGAGGGAUAUGGGCUUCACGGUCUGAACAACAACUAAGGAAAAUUUGGGAGCUCAUUAAAAUAAAGUGAGUUCAUAAAUUUGUAAUUUGUUGCGAAGUAGAGGUUAGUUUAACUAUAGUGGAGAUGACUACGAGUAUAAUCUCUGAGACAACUUACCUAAUUCAUUUGCAUUGAAGGUAGAGACUUCUUAUUUGACUCCCACCUUACAAAAUACAUAAUUUUUUCAGUACCCCUGUAUUAUUGUUUCGGUCAUCCAGCGAAUUUUAGGAUUUUAAGUUUAGGUUAGGUUGAAAUUAUGUUUUGAACAACUUUCAAAUAGGUUGAUGACCGAAACAAUAAUUUGACCUUAAAAAAGUAAAUUCGUCACAAACUCCUGUAAACUUAUACAUGUUACACCAAUAAUACAAAUGAUUACCAAGUUUUACAAAUAAGUACUGUAUUAUGUUUAUAUUAAAAUAUAAUAAAGCUAAAUAAUUUGUACCAAAACAGGCCUAAGUAGCAUAACAGUAAUCUAUUUUGUAGAUAGGUGUACUGUACGGGUAUAUAUUUUCCUUACCCUAUAAUUUCAAAAUUGAAUAUCUUGCAGGACAAAGAAAGAGCGUACCAUUAUGAAGACGGAAGUAUUUAAAACUGGUGGUUAUGUGCCUCCUGCAGAAGCUAGUCCAGAAAGCUAAACAUUAUGGCUUCUGAAAUCAGAGAUCUUGGCUGUGAAUUUGAUUCAGACACACAUCAAUGUAAGUCUCACACUGAAACUAAGAAAAAAAAUCACAAUAAGUAGUGAUGUUUAAUGGAAUGUAACAAACUUAGCCCUGAUGUGUACCGGGUAUUGCGUAAACAACAUAAUCCUCCAUUUGCUCUCUUACUCUCAUUUAUUCUCGUGUCGGGAUUCAGUGUUCCAAUUACAUUUGUUAAUAUUUCUGUUCAUGUAAAUAUAUGUAACAAAUUGUUAGUGCCGACAUGAACCCCUCUUGUUAAGGAGGUUGCAUAUUUACACCUUGACUUAAAAUAGCCUUUUAUGCCAAUUUGUCACCAUUUAUCAAAUUUCUCUUGCUGUAUUAGUGAUUACCCUAUACAGUAUAACAAUAAUUCUAAUAUCAUUUGAAGUUGGUGGAGCAACAAGUCAAGUCCUUAUUAUUGAUGUGGAUCGGUCACUCCAUUUAAUGAAUGAGGACCACAGCUACUACGUUCAAAGCUUGCCUUCCACACAUCUUGUGCCUGAGAUUAGCUGCAAAAAUCCUACAGCAGAGGCCAUGCGGACAUACCGUUGCAAGACACAAAUUUGCAACCUGGACCCUCCACCUCCUCUCAGAAAAAGAAAAUGAGAACGUCAUUAUUUGAUGAAAUCCUGUAUGGCCCAGCCAAUAGGAAAAAAUUUACCAUUAAAAAGCAGGACAUAAAUCAUACUUUUUUGAGGACACGACAGCUGUUGGUGGAUAACAACUGAAAAAUAAUGAUCAAUAUAGAAAUUGCAAAUAAUCAGAAGUUGUAUUCAGAGAUACAGAUUCAAACUGCAAAUCAAACAUUAGAAAGGAUAACUAUGGAAACAGUAGGGGUGAGAGAUUCAAACAUUCAUAAUAGAUGAUGGGGAAAUAAUUAUGUACAGUAUAGUAUUAAAUUAUUUUUUAUUGUGUUCUCUGUCACCCUUGUUUAAGAGUUAAUAGUGCUGCAAUCAGUUCACAAAGAACAAGUCUAGUGUAAUUUACUACAUAACUAUUGUGAUUUACUACAUACAGUAACUACAACACUGAUUUUCUACCAGCCUAUACAGUAAUUUAGUACAUAAAAUUAGUUACUGUAUUUACUACCUAACUAUAAUUGAGUACAUAGUUCAUAACAUCUGUGAUUUACUACCUAACUACCGUGAUUUAUUAAAACAACAAAACUAAGAGGAUAGUGCUUCAGAUAAUCGUGAAACAAGUGUUGCUCAAACUCACUCACAAAAAAGGAACUUGUGGGUCUGGGUAACCCAUUUCUUUUGUAUAAUGUGAAACAUUUUUAUGUUGUAUCAAUAUUUAUUCCCACCCAAUUGGUUACUAAAUCUGUGGUAUGUAUAGCAGUAAUUAACUGCAUAUAUAGUUUAGUUAUAAAUUUUGUAAUGCCAAAUUUCAUGUUUUAUUUAUAAAUUUAUUACAUACAGUAUUGCAUAAUUACAGUGUUGCAGACUCCUGAUUAUAGAUCAUGUUUAAGUUAACAAAUGUGUGAUAUGUCACAAAUAAAUACAUUUUACAGAA